rnacentral:tmRNA from 1 species
GGGGCUGACCGGAUUUGACGGCAAGCCGGAGUGAGCUGUAAGCACGCGGAGCAGUGUAUAUUCUCUCCUUAAACAGAAUAUUCAGAAAAAUAAUUGGCAACAACAGAUUUGCUCUCGCUGCCUAAACGAAGAACAGUAGUUUAAGGCUCAAUCCCACCGCAAGGCGGAGGGACGAGACAUCGCUCAAGGACUCUGUUUCCGAAAUGCCUUGGUCAAGCGGUGCUGAACACGUCGGAAAUAGUGAUGUCGGGUCUUGACGGCAACAUGAAAAUUUAGAGACUAAGGCGGUGAUUGGUGGUCCGGGUCUUGUCAUCGCUCGAAAAACGAAGACCGGAAUAAGCGUGUAGAAAGCAUCUUGUUUCCUUGUGCGGACGAGGGUUCGACUCCCUCCAGCUCCACU